rnacentral:rRNA from 1 species
AUGUUCUCUUCUUCUUUAUUUUACAUGUUAAAGCAUGGACCUUCUUGCUCAGUCAGCCGCAAUGGAAAAAGUCAGGAUCCCAACAAAAGACCAAGUCAGGAUCCCAACAAAGGACCUUCUGGACGCUAUGAUGUAGCAGCUUGGCCUUCCAAACGCAGUGACCCAUCACAGAAGGCAAGGCCGGUUGGUCUUGACGCAACCAUUCACUAUCCAUCAAAGCACCAACUGGACAACCGACUUCCAAGGAAAUCAAUAUACAUCUACGUGUACAGUAAACUCAAAGAGGCUGAAGAUCGACCGGCAAAUGACGCUCUUAAGUAG